rnacentral:rRNA from 2 species
UAUUAGGUGGUUAUUGCAGUGGGGUCCCACCUCUUCCCAUUCCGAACAGAGAAGUUAAGCCCACCUGCGCCGAUGGUACUGCAAUGCAAUGCGGGAGAGUAGGAAGCCGCCGUCU